CCCCGAGGCAGCGGCGGCGGCCCCGGCUGCCUGCGCCGCUCGGCGGGGACGGGCCUGGGCGGGGCCGGACGUGAGCGCACUUCCGCGGGGCGCCGCCAUGGCGGCAAGAAGUCCUGCUGAUGGUACUCCAAGAAGACCUGUUUUACCUGUCAGCGCAAGAAAAAUUAAAGAUAAUGCAGCAGACUGGCAUAAUUUAAUGAUGAAAUGGGAGAGACUGAAUGAUAAUGGAUUUACUGUCGCAAACAAAAUAGUCAACAUGAAGAUCAGUGAGCAAUUUCCAGACAACAAAUGGGAGAUAGCAUGUGAUAACGGUGCCACAGAAUCUGAAAAGCCAACUCCAAAAUACAAUGAAGAACUGGACAAUUGCUGUGCGGAAUUACUUGAGACCUUAAAGCAUAUGACAAAAAUACAACUGAAAAUGGAAAAGCUUACUUUGACUACUAAAGCAAUCUGUGACUUGGAAACAUUCCACCAUGGAGCUGGGAGUUGCACAGCACCUUUCUUUCAUACAUGGCCCACACCAUACUUCUAUGAGGUUUCUUUGAAGCUCUCUGAAAUGUACAAGAAGGAACUACAACUCAAGCAAACAAUUGUACAAGACAUUGCUCAUUCUGCUGACCAGGAUCUGAUGAUGGUCUAUUUAUCAUCAUGGUUAUAUCAGCCUUACAUUGAGAACAGCAGCAAACUACUACUUGAAGCCAUGCUGCUGGAAACAGGACAUAGACAGUGCUAGAAGUUCAAAUGUUACAUGGCUUGCUUCUAAUGAUGCUUACAUGAAACUGAAAUGGCAAAUUGCAACUUACCAAAGACAAUCUGGUUUUGGUUGCUUUAUCCAUUUUAAGUGCAAUAGAGAGGCUACAGGUAGGAGGCCAAGUCCCCUAUAAUCAGAAAGAGGUCAGCACUACUUGGUCGUCUGGGGGGAUUCAAUGCACAUAGGCACCUACAGCAAAGAAUUUACUUUCCAAGUCUUGACAGUCUAAAAUACUUACAUUGUCCCUUUCACCAUAGAAAUUCAGCACUUCCUGAUCUUCCAUGGGCAUGGCUUAACAGGGCUACUGCUUUUGUACUUGCUUUAUAAAUGGGGAAAAGGAAAGGAAAGCACAAAAGGCAGGAUCCAAAAGGAUCCACAUAGUUUGGUAUGUGGUUCUGAAAUGCUGUCACAGACACUAGUGUAAAUUCUGGUUUGGUUUUGAUUAUAGUGUGGUUAGGUACAUCACCCUUGAAGAGUGAUCCAAGCCUGAACUAGCACACUGGGAAGAUUUAGUACAACUCACCAUUCCACAGUCAUACAAUGAAAAAGGUCUUGUCUCUUUUAAUUCAUUGUAACUUUUUCUUUUAGAGAUGGUUCAUGAAAGCAACUGUUCAAUAAAAACAAGACCUGCUUCAGUCAUGGCCUUAUCCUGUAUUGUUUGCUUCCUGUCAUAGGGCUCAGUGAGUUUUUCCUUGGAUUACUGUUUCUGGUGUCAAGUGGUUUUGGUUUAAAGGUGUGCCUCCUCUGUAUUUUUGGUUAGCAGUUUACAUGACAGGAAUUGGUGGCUCAAAUUCUUGCUUUUCUUUUUCAAGCUGCUUUUUUGGAGAGUAGAGAGUGUGUUCAGGAGAAACAGUUAAUGCAAAAGCUAAAUGCUGAAGUGGAAUUCAGUACCCUUAUUUGCUUUCACUCCUAAAGACGUAAUAAUCCCUGUAACGUACCGUUAUGUCAGACCUGGGUAGCAUGGAGAAGCUGCUCCACUUACCCAGCCUUUAGUAACUGUUAGCUGCUAUUGCAAAUUAUCACUUUUCAGAAGUGUACUACAAUGUGGAAACUACACAGCUGUGUCAUUAAACUUUUAGUUAAAUCCCUAACGUGUAGUGAAUGUAGGCCUUCUGCUUACUUCAUUAUGAUUAAUAAUCAAAAUUCCUUCCACUUACUGAUUGCGUGUAUGACCUGGUCCUGUAUAAACUGUUUAUUUAGAUCUCAUAUUUCACACAAUUAUGUGGUGUUAAAUGUUUCAUUGUUGUGCCCUGACAGAUGUUUACCCUUGAUUCUCCUUGAAACAACUAUUUGAACUGAAAGACAGUAACAUGAAAUGCACACUGCUAUGAAAUGACCAUGAUGGCUGUGGCUUGACACUAGAAAAAUCUAAUUAAGACAGUGAGAGAUUCUGGAACAGAUUUCUGAUAGGAAAAGUAGGGUCACUUACUUAACUAGUUUCAAGCUGAAACCCCAUAAGCUUGGUAAGGGAAAUACAUGAGUUUUCUGCAAUAACAGAACAGACAGACAUGAAUUGGAAAAGUUUCCUCAACAUGUUGUUCUGUUCAACAACGAGGUUGUUUCUGACAGCUUAAUAGUGUUCUAUUCUUACCCGAAAUUUCUAGCAUCUAAAAAGAAAUUCUGCUGUCGCUCAAGGAGAACACAAUCAGUUAUGAAUAGCUUUGUUGGGUUUUAUUAUUUUUCUGUGCAAGCGUUCCACCUAGUUUAACAGCCACCUUAAUUUUUCUGAGUAGGGCCAGACCCUUGUCACUAUGGAAACACCUUCAUACUUGAAAAAUAUUUCCCAAGGAGAAAAGGUUGGUUCACUUAUAGAAUUGUUCUUUUAAGAUGAGAGUAGGUGUAUUGUAUUUCCCAGCGUGUGCAAAUCAAUAGGGAAGGCAGAAUUGAAGCAAAUUUUCAUUUUCUGCACAGGUGGAAAUUGUGGUUUGUUCUUGUUUCUUAGAGGAAAUAAGCUCUUCAGGAAGGAGUCUUCGUAUUCACAGACCCCCUUGCUCAUUAAGUGCUAUCAGACACAAGAAGAUUACUGCAAAAUCAUUGCAGAGAUGUUUUGCCAUUAUAGCUCUAAGCAGUUGAUUGUUGUAUUUGAAGCCCUCAGAUGUAGCUGUUAGACAUUGGUACAAAAGAGCGUAAUAAAGAAUUGCUCACUGCAAUUGAA